GAUGAACGCUGGCGGCGUGCCUAAUACAUGCAAGUCGAGCGAAUGGAUUAAGAGCUUGCUCUUAUGAAGUUAGCGGCGGACGGGUGAGUAACACGUGGGUAACCUGCCCAUAAGACUGGGAUAACUCCGGGAGACCGGGGCUAAUACCGGAUAACAUUUUGAACCGCAUGGUUCGAAAUUGAAAGGCGGCUUCGGCUGUCACUUAUGGAUGGACCAGCGUCGCAUUAGCUAGUUGGUGAGGUAACGGCUCACCAAGGCAACGAUGCGUAGCCGACCUGAGAGGGUGAUCGGUCACACUGGGACUGAGACACGGCCCAGACUCCUACGGGAGGCAGCAGUAGGGAAUCUUCCGCAAUGGACGAAAGUCUGACGGAGCAACGCCGCGUGAGUGAUGAAGGCUUUCGGGUCGUAAAACUCUGUUGUUAGGGAAGAACAAGUGCUAGUUGAAUAAGCUGGCACCUUGACGGUACCUAACCAGAAAGCCACGGCUAACUACGUGCCAGCCGCCGCAGUAA
rnacentral:rRNA from 1 species